GCGGCGGGGAGUUGGUCACGCAGGGAGCGGGGGCGGCGGCCGCGGGCGGCGGAACCACGGCGGGCCAGGCGGGGCCGGCGCCUCCGAGACCCCGGGGAGGGGAAGGGCUCGCCCCGGAGCCGCCUGCCGAGCGGGAGGUGGCCGGGGCGGAUCAGGGCUCCUCCCGGCGCCGCCAAGGUCGUUUCCCGCGGGAAGAAGGAGAGCGGGGCCGGGGCCUGGUCCGGGGGAAGCCGGGGAGGCCCCGCUGGCGGCGGUGAAAAGCCUGGGGAGGGGGCUGGGAGAGCCUCGGCUUCCCUCAGGACACCGGGGUCUGGAAGAGGGGAAGCUGCUAGUUGCCUGUGUUUGACAGGUGUUCACGGCUCGAGGUCUCGGUUGUUUUCUGAUUCUGACAGAAUUUUAGAGAACAAAGCACAUCCCGGGAUCCCGUACAGUAUCAGAAUUUGACCAGGUGAAUGAAAAAAAAAAUUAGAGCAGUAGCAAUUCCUCUCUCCUGCUGCUGGGGGGGAAUUGACAGGUAGGAGCAGCGUCAUUGGUGUAAAAAAGCAACGCAGUUAUCACAAAUGAUUAAUAUUUGAGGAAUUUAUUUUGGGCACGAGGAGGAAGUAAUGCCCAGUAGGAGUUUCCAACAAAUACUGGAACCUUACCAACAUUUUAAUCCCCGUGAAGGAAAUGAGAUACUCAAAUUGUGUUUCACCUCUUCAUCUCUGUGUACAAACUCUUACACUAAGACCUGCUUUUUGCAGUAAAAGCACAAAACAGAUGAUAGACUUCUGUAAGAUAGUGAGAUAACAGAAUAAGGGACUACAUUAGCGUUUUCACAGGCUGAAAAAAUACAAUUUUGUUUGCUUUAAAAACUUGUUCCAUCAACAGACUGCUAUAAAUACAGAUGUUUUUCUUAUUUUGACAUCCACAGUAAUUGAAGAGCUGAAAAAAUGGUAACCUGCAAUAAUUUGUUCAUGUUUUUUGCUUCAGAAAUGGUGGGACUAAUUACAGUAUUUUCCUGCUUGCUUUUAUUGAAAUCCAGGGGAGUUGGCGGGGAGAAUUCACAGUUCCUCAUUUGAAGCAGGAAUUGCUAAACCAUACACAAAAAAGGCUCUCAGAUUUGUGUCUUAGCAUCUAAGGCCCCAUUCUGCCAUCCUUGCUAUAGUGUCUUGCAAGAAAUCCAGGAUGGACAGCACACAAAUUGCUCUAAUAUGAAAGGAGAAGAAAAUAAGACCAUUAAAGCCAUCCUGUCAGAAUAAAAAAAGGAAGAAAAAAAGACGAUAUUGGGUGCUUCUGAUCUACUACUCUGUGAAGUACAACUGGGAACAAAGGCUGAGCAGGCCCAGCUCCCCCAGCCUCUCCUCAGAACUGAAGUGCUCCAGUCCCCUGAUGAACUUUGUUUCUGCUGGACCAAGAGCUCAAUGUCUCUUAUACUGAGGAGCCCAGAACUGGACCUGGGUUUCUGCGAGCCUCAGCCCUCUGGGGAUGUGUCUGGAAUUGGUGCUGGACAUACUCUCCCUGCUGGAGAGAGCCCUGGAGCCUGCAAGUCCACAGAGAUAAGUGUGGAGCAGGGUGCCAUACAAACACUGAGAGAUAAAGUGAUUUACUUAAGGAUGAGACUGAGAAGACACCCCACCCUCUGAUUGCUUUAGCCCUGAAGUGCUGAUGGAGCUGCAAGGAACAGAGCCUCUCAGGUGGGGCAAUGGUUAAUUCACUGAGAAAGCAGGAGAAUAGCUUGCUCCAUAUUUAAUUCCCACAGUUGUCCUCUCUUACCUCUGUUGUAAACCUGAGGGCCUGCAUGCAGACCGGAGUGUUUCUGUUAGAAAUGCUUCUGACAAUAAAU